UACGAAGGGGACUAGCGUUGUUCGGAUUUACUGGGCGUAAAGGGCGCGUAGGCGGCGUGGUAAGUCAAUUGUGAAAUCUCCGAGCUUAACUCGGAACGGUCAAUUGAUACUGCUGUGCUAGAGUACAGAAGGGGCAAUCGGAAUUCCUGGUGUAGCGGUGGAAUGCGCAGAUAUCAGGAGGAACACCGGUGGCGAAGGCGGGUCUCUGGGCAGUGAACUGACGCUGGAGGAGCG
rnacentral:rRNA from 1 species